rnacentral:rRNA from 1 species
CUCGUAGGUGGCCGACCCAGUCAGACGUGAAAUCCCUCGGCUCAACCGGGGAACUGCGUCUGAUACUAGUUGGCUUGAAUCCGGGAGAGGGACGCGGAAUUCCAGGUGUAGCGGUGAAAUGCGUAGAUAUCUGGAGGAACACCGGUGGCGAAGGCGGCGUCCUGGACCGGUAUUGACGCUGAGGAGCGAAAGCCAGGGGAGCAAACGGGAUUAGAUACCCCGGUAGUCCUGGCCCUAAACGAUGAAUGCUUGGUGUGGCGGGUAUCGAUCCCUGCCGUGCCGAAGCUAACGCAUUAAGCAUUCCGCCUGGGGAGUACGGUCGCAAGGCUGAA